rnacentral:rRNA from 1 species
CCGGAGAAUACCAAGGCGCUUGAGAGAACUCGGGUGAAGGAACUAGGCAAAAUGGCACCGUAACUUCGGGAGAAGGUGCGCCGGUGAGGGUGAAGCAUUUACUGCGUAAGCCCAUGCCGGUCGAAGAUACCAGGCCGCUGCGACUGUUUAUUAAAAACACAGCACUCUGCAAACACGAAAGUGGACGUAUAGGGUGUGACGCCUGCCCGGUGCCGGAAGGUUAAUUGAUGGGGUUAGCUAACGCGAGGCUCUUGAUCGAAGCCCCGGUAAACGGCGGCCGUAACAAUAACGGUCCUAAGGUAGCGAAAUUCCUUGUCGGGUAAGUUCCGACCUGCACGAAUGGCGUAACGAUGGCGGCGCUGUCUCCACCCGAGACUCAGUGAAAUUGAAAUCGCUGUGAAGAUGCAGUGUAUCCGCGGCUAGACGGAAAGACCCCGUGAACCUUUACUAUAGCUUUGCACUGGACUUUGAAUUUGCUUGUGUAGGAUAGGUGGGAGGCUUUGAAGCGUGGACGCCAGUUCGCGUGGAGCCAACCUUGAAAUACCACCCUGGCAACUUUGAGGUUCUAACUCAGGUCCGUUAUCCGGAUCGAGGACAGUGUAUGGUGGGUAGUUUGACUGGGGCGGUCUCCUCCUAAAGAGUAACGGAGGAGUACGAAGGUGCGCUCAGACCGGUCGGAAAUCGGUCGUAGAGUAUAAAGGCAAAAGCGCGCUUGACUGCGAGACAGACACGUCGAGCAGGUACGAAAGUAGGUCUUAGUGAUCCGGUGGUUCUGUAUGGAAGGGCCAUCGCUCAACGGAUAAAAGGUACUCCGGGGAUAACAGGCUGAUACCACCCAAGAGUUCAUAUCGACGGCGGUGUUUGGCACCUCGAUGUCGGCUCAUCACAUCCUGGGGCUGAAGCCGAUCCCAAGGGUAUGGCUGUUCGCCAUUUAAAGUGGUACGCGAGCUGGGUUUAGAACGUCGUGAGACAGUUCGGUCCCUAUCUGCCGUGGACGUUUGAGAUUUGAGAGGGGCUGCUCCUAGUACGAGAGGACCGGAGUGGACGAACCUCUGGUGUUCCGGUUGUCACGCCAGUGGCAUUGCCGGGUAGCUAUGUUCGGAAUAGAUAACCGCUGAAAGCAUCUAAGCGGGAAACUAGCCUCAAGAUGAGAUCUCACUGGGACCUUGAGUCCCCUGAAGGGCCGUCGAAGACUACGACGUUGAUAGGUUGGGUGUGUAAGCGCUGUGAGGCGUUGAGCUAACCAAUACUAAUUGCCCGUGAGGCUUGAUC